AAACUCUGGUGUCAGCAAUAUGAUCCAUGAAAGAAAAAUAUCCACAUCCACUAUUGCAGAGAUUUCAGACUGCUCUCUUUUCGACAGUGGGUUGUAUUGCAGCAGCAGCAGCAGCAGCAGCUCGUUCUCCUGCAGCAGCACGGCCCCAGAGACGUGACUGUGGUCUUCAAUAAGCAGCUGUGUAUAAUCAGAAAGAAGAGUUUCCAGAAUGGACAGCAAAAGAGCUCCUGACAUUUACUACGAAAGGCAUGCAGCCAUGGACAGUUGCAGUUAUGAGGUCAGUAUUAGUCAGCCAAGUCUUGUCAAUAUUUGCUGGGUCCCAAGUCUGAACCGAG